rnacentral:lncRNA from 1 species
GGCGAGGCCGACGCAGCUGCUUCUCCAGAGCCGCGAGCCCGGGCGGGGACCGGAGCCGGCUUCCCGAGGAAGUGGGGCCGCGCGCCGCGGAGCUGCGCGGAGGAAGGAAGCGCCGCGGCUGCUGAUGUCAGAGAGCCCGGAAAGUCGAGCCGGAAAAAUCUGAAGACAGCAGCGGGGCUCUGCCGCUCGCCCCGCGGAGGCACCGCUGUCCACCCCCGCGCCCCUCGGAGCUCGGAGCCCGGAGCCGGCGCUGGCUGCGCCUGGCCAGGCUACCGGGCGCGGAGGAGCCCGGGCGGCCACCCUGGAAUACAGAUAAGCGGCAGGCAGCGGACGUGGGUUUAAUGCACCCGGACUCCGAGUGGAUGUGGCCGCGGCCGUGGCCGUGAUCCCGGGCUGCGCGCGGACGGCAGCCGGCUGCCGGCGGAAGGACAGACCGACGUCGCCCAGCCGGCUCCUUCCCAGGAGGAAGGCCGGCCAGGACUCCUGGGCCAGGGUGAGGAAGGAGCAGGCCUCAGCUCACAUUGCAAGCUUCCUCUAACCCUGAUGGCAGCAGCGCCCUCGCUGAACCUGAGGAUCCUGAGGGUGCUCCAGCCGAGGCUGGGCUGAGCCUGUGAGGGAGGCUGCAGAAGGCACAGAACCAGGGGACACGCCUGCCUUCAAGAGCCCUGUGACACCAGGAGUGGUGGAUGCGCCUGUAACCCGGUACUCUGGGAGGCUGACACAGGAGGGUUAUAAGUUGGAGCCCAGCUUGGGCAACUUAGGUACUUAAGCAAAAGCAAGGGCUGUCGGUGUAAGUCAGUAAGGGCCUAGGGUUAAUCCCCAGCGCCAGAAAAGGGGCACUGGAGCCUUUGCAGUUCUGAGCUUUCGGGAAUGACAUGGAUAUACCGAGGAAAGAAUUUAUUACCCAGCCCCUGUAAAGCUCCACUCAGCCUCAGUCUCCAGUCUGUGCCACUCUGAGUUUCUGUGCUUUGCUCUGGACCCAAAGUGCACAGCUGUAGCCUCCUGCAGUCCCAGGAUACCGAUGGACCUGUGCAAGGUGAGCUUGGAUCUCAGGGACGCCUCACUGUCAGGGCAGCCUGGCAGCUUCCGUCACUGUGCAACCCUGGGCCAGUGGCUUAACGUCUCUGAGCAGAAGGCCAGGCCUUUGAGGGACAGAGGCAGAAGGCUGGGGCGGAGAGGAAUGGUGUGUGCGCGGCCUGCUGCAGGCAGAGGUGGCAAGAGGAGGCGCUGCUGCUUUGAAGAGGUUUCCUGCUUCAUGAAAGCGAAAGGCCCUGGCCGUGCUGGGUAAAUAUUAGGCUGGCCUCUGACCUCCCAUCUGCCUGACUGCUCCCCAGCCUGCCACUGCCCCCCACCCCGGGAACAUGGAUACCUGGGGAAGAAGAGUCUGUUUCAGAACUCUGGGGAGGGUGGGCCUCAGCAGGGCCCCAGCCCUUCCCUCUGCAGACAGGAGCCCCCCUGGGUCCUCAGAGCGCCCACCCUCUGCCCCGGUGGGUGGGGUGUCCUGGAUGCCACAGUCCCUGCUGGGAGGCCUCCGCCCUCGCUGCCUGUGCCUUCCUGACACCCCUUGAUCUCACACUACCAGGGGCUCAGGGGCCAGGCCUCCCCAGGCCUCUCUGGAGACAGAUGCAGUGCUCGCCCACUGCUCACCCAGCCUGAUCCCGCUGCCGAGCCCUUAGGUUUCUGGGCCCAAGGACUUGGAACGCUGUGAGUGUCAUGGAGCCAGGAAGCCACCCCAGCUCCGGGCAGGGGCUGGCCCCACUCAGGGGUCAGACAGAUGGUCAGGAAGAGCCUGGGGUCAGAGAGCAGGCUCCUCACACGGGGAACAAAGGGCUUUGCUUCACACUUGCCCUGCCUCCUUCCUGGAAGAUUUCUCACCUGGGGACCAGGACUCCCCUUUUGCGCCCUGGCCACAGCGGGGAGGGCAGGGGAGGAAGAGCGGCGACAUUGGCAGGAUUGAUCCUCCCGGCCCGGAGCCUCGGUUUCCCCAUCUGUGCGAUGAGAAUGAGUGCUUCUCGGUCCUGCACACCUGCCCUCGCUUGCCCUCACUCCUGGAGCGGAGGAAGAAGGUGUCAGGGGAGAUGGAAACGCAGCAGUGGUUGCAGAUGUGGAAAGGUGUUCUAAACUGUGGAGCAGAACAAAAGGCAAGGCUCUUGCCUUCUCUCCCUCCCUCCUGCCUCUCACAUUUGGAAUUUUAUGAAAACAAAUAAGAUCUUCUUUAACGCCACCCUGUGUGCUAAAGUGCUUAGGGCUGAGCACUUAGUGGAGACCAGGAGCAGAGCAGAGCCCACAGCCUUGGCAAGAAGACAACAGGCAGGGCCCGGGAUUUCGCUCAGCCACUGGCUCUGCCACCUGCCUCAAAAGCGCAAGGGUCCGAGUUCGAUCCCAGUACCAAAAAAAAACAAAAAGAAGACAACAGGUAGAGCUUGGGGUCAGCACUUGUGCAGGGUUAGAAUUUAAAUUUCUGGAGUAGAAGUGCAUGGCGUGGUCAUAGGGCUGGUGAGGCCAAGACUCACCCCCCAAGAGGGGUGGGGACAGCACAGAUCUGCCCGGAAGAGGGAUCUCCUCUGGGAGGCACUGGGGCACAGAUGGUGCAGGCGCAGCGCAAAAGAGCUUAGCAGGAGCCUAGGCUGGGCCUUGGGACUCAGCGUCUGGGCUUUGGCCAGCACUGGUCAUUGCUCAAGACACAGAGCAUCUGGGCAAAGCAUCAGCUGCGUCUCCUGGACAGUGUGCCCCCCACGGCCCUGCCACCCUGUGCACAGUGGCCUCCGGAGGUUCUGUUCCUUGGAGCUGGGCAGCCAUGCAGCUCGACGGAGCCGUCUUCCCCAGAGCAGGCCCAGCCUCCUCUCUGUCCAUCUGCUGGCCUUUAGCACACACCCUUUGCCCGUCCUGGGCGCUGAGCAGUGUGCUAGAGGAGGCCCCCCUCUCCUGAAUCGCUCCGACCAGCUUUCUUCCAUCCAUAGCAAGCCUUGCUAUUUGCUCAGUCAAUGGGUCUGGCAGGGCCAGGCUGCCCCUCCCUCCCCGAGAGGCAGUGUGGGCACUGUUUGUGUUUCGGUCUCUAUAGACUCAGCAUUCACAAUUUGAAGAGGCUGAGACAAUGACCCAAGCAGCUGCCUGCAGCCUGUGCUGGCUGGGAGGCGUGGAGGGAGAGCUCAGAAGCCACAGGGGAGAGGGAGGCGGAGUCAGGCCGCCAGGGUCUGGGCACCGAGCACCUGUGAGCUUUCCCAGGCAGCUGUGGCUGCCCAGGGGGAACAAGGGGAGGACUGAGGUCCAGGGGCCUGGUCCAGCCACCUGACUGGCUUCCCUGCACAUCCUCAGCAUUGUUGGCAAAGCUUUCCACCAGCUGUGAAGUGCCCAGGGGGCCUGGCUGGAAAAUAAGGUCUCGAGGAUACAGCCGUCCCAGGCCUGCCACAGGAAAGGGCAAAGCAUUUAUCCAGUAGCAAAUAGCGGAAAGCUUCACCCUGAAAGCCUCGCCAGGUGGAAGGUACAUUACUUUCAAGGAGUUGGAAGUUGGUAUCACAUAAUUCAAUUUGAUGGAACACCCGUGUUUAGGGAACAUCUAUGUGGCUAGGAUGACCGGUGGGAGAUUCACCAAAGCUAUCCAACCCUGGAAGGGCCCAGCAGGAGAGGGAACGUACAUGUGGAGAAUUAAGCAGAGGCUGGAAGACAACCAGGUCUUAAGUGGGGACUGGGCUCUAGAGCAGGAAGGGAUCACAGGUGUUGCUGGGACCCCCCGAUCCACCCCAGGCCCUCUCAGCUGUGGUCUCCUUGCUGCUCUGCAAAUGCGAGGGGAGGAAAGGCACGGCCCAGUGUCGGUCCGCACAAGUGACCCAAAGCACCCGGCCUUAAGUCCAAAGCAAGCAGAGCUGUUCUCAUGCCUUCACCCCAAGCUAGCGGGCUGUUGGGAGCGAGGCCCAGAUUAGCCCUGCUCGGCCCUGGACCCCGAGUUCUAAUCGUGUUAAAAUUAGCACUCCCUCUACAAGCAGGGCGGCCCCUCUGCACUGAGACAUGGUCAGCGCUCGGCUGACGCAGCUCUAAGUUAGAAUCAUUGUCAUCUACAGGACCGAAGCAGCUGCUCACUCCAAUGUAUUAUCAGCUUGGCUGGAGACAGAGAAAUUUAAAUGACAGCGAGAUGCUUAGCAAAGAAACGAAAGUCAGUGUUAAAAAUAAAGAAAACAAGACAGCCUGUUUCACUGAACUAGAAGGGUUAUUAAACAGCCCUGAAUUGAUCAGUGAUCUGCCACGCCGGGGACCGUGCCGGGGAUGGGAGAGGGGUGAGGCCAGGGCUGAGCACGGGAGAGUGGAGCCAGUGCC